rnacentral:lncRNA from 1 species
UCGUUGUUUGACACUUGACUUCAUUGUUUGUCAUUCAUCAAAACCUAUACCUGAAAAUCAUGCCUAUACAACCAAAGCGAACAUAUCAUAGAUAGAGGGAUUUCCUACAAUAUCGUUCCUUUAAACUAGUCCAUAAUUGAAAUGGAUCUUUCAAGGUUAAAUAUUCACUUUUUAACCCUUCAUCGAGAUGAUAGCAAAGGAAAAUAAUGGCUUUUGCCUUAUCCUGACUUAAUGCUUCAUUUCCUUCUUUAAUGGUGUCACCAAGACUUUUAGCGUCAAGGUGAAUUUCAGCAUCAAGUACCCAUGGCAAAUAGUUAUUUCCAGAUAUGUCAGGUGCCAUAAAUUCAAGCUUUGAUAAAUUCGACAUAGUAAAAACUAUCAUAAAAAUAAGUGAAUUAGAAUGAAAAGAAUUAUUAUUAAUGAAAAAUUCAGUGCAGUACAUAAUCGUGUAUUAAUAUUUUAUAUGUAUAUUUAUCAAAAUAAAUAAUUAUGUGCAGUGCGAUGAUAAAUUAGUGUUUAAAAUUACCCACCAAAAUUUUAGAUAUGUAAGUAUAUUUUCAUAGAAUAAAUAAGUUGAAUUAGUAUAUACUAUUAUAAUUUUGUUCUACUUAGAAUACGUUUCAAUAAGCCAAGUAGGCAUAAAACUAGAUGAUAUCAAUUCUGACAAGUUUCAACAUUCAAUACGAUAAAUUUAUUAUUUUAAUUCAAUUUUAAUACUUAUUUAUUUAUGUGUAUGAUUAAACUUCUUCGUAGUUGGCUUGCUUGCCACCAGUCCUUUAAUCCAAUUUUAAUACUUAUUUAUUUAUGUGUGUGAUUAAACUUCUUCGUAGUCUAGUAAUAAAAAAACAAAUUAAGUGAAACUUAUUAUUUUCAUUCCAAUGCAAUUAUUAUAAUCAUAUUCAAAACAAGUUAUGCAUAUGGUAAUUAAAUUGCAUGUUAAAGAAGAUCCUAAUAGAAACAUUAUAAACAUAGGAAUGUAUACCUAAAUCGGAAAAGAAACUGACUACCUCUCUUAGGAAGAAGAUAAAAUUUGGAUGAAGCAUAUAACCUCAGUUGGUUAGAACCUCGUGAUGAUAACGUAUUAAAAAACAAGAGAAAAAUAGAAUAAUAUAGUAAUAGAGACAAGAUGUAUAUGAGGAGAAUGUAGAAGCUAUCUUAUUCAAGUGUGUUUCUUGUGUGUUCUUCCAUAAGCAAAGAAUGUCCUAUUUAUACUAUACAAGAUACACUCAAAACUCACUAGAUACAUCCUAAGAAUUAAUAGCUGCAUCUAUCCAAGUAUUACAUUGUAUAAAAUGUAUGGCACUCAAAACUCACUAGACACAUCCUAUAAAUUAAUAGGUGCAUCUAUCGAAGUAGUAUAUUGUAUAAAAUAUAUGGAGGAUUAAAUGAACAUCCAUAUACAUUCACUUUAUUUAUAACAUCUCUCUCGUUCUUUCAAAUUUUUCUCCACUUUCUCUCUCUUUCUCAAUGCUAGUAUUUCUCAAUGGUUAUCUCGUUUCUCUCGACAAAUAUAAUUAAAGGGAAAAACAUAUAUUGAUUCUGAUCGAAAAACAAAGUUGGAUAUUGUUCAAAAUCAAGAAAUGGGAAAAAGUUGAAAAUUGAUAAGAGACAUGCAAAUAGAACUCGAACGAAUAUCCCUCCAAACAAUGGCAUUGUAAAGAAGUAGCCAUGUGGAUUGCUCCACACAAUAGUGAUCUCUCGUUGAUUUAUAAGCCCAAUAACUUUGAGUCCACUAUCCACGUUAUGUCCAUCAGCAGUAGCCUUAUCAAGAGCCUUUGCCAUACAGAUCCUCACACUCUCCACAAUUUCCAUUGGGUCAUGUUCCACCCAUCUACAAUAUCGAGAAGAAAAACAAAGUCAACGCAGAUGCAUGAAAAUCCGGAAAACCCAAUGAUCAAUUUAUUGGGUCAUGUUUUUACUACAUGCUUCUGGUGAAUGGCGGAUUCGUUGGAAAUUAGGGGUUGUUCUUGAACAAAGACGACGGAGUUUGGGGCUGAGCAAUUUGAUUUUCUGUUAAUAUAUUUAAAUGUAUUUUCAUGUAUUUCAUUGUAUUCAUUUGUCAUUUUUUCAUUGUAAUUCAAAUUAUCUCGUUGUAUUACAUGUAUUUUAUUGUAUUCACUGUCUUUUUUCCCAUUGUAUUUCAAUAUAUCCCAUUGUAUAUAUAUGUAUUUCAUUAUAUUCACUGUCUCGCUAUAUGCCAUUAUUGUAUUCAUAUGUUUUUUUAAUUAAUAUAAUUUAUGUAUUCAGAUAUUGUAGACAUGUGAUUUUUUAUUAUCCCCAAGAUUUUACAUAUUUUAGCAUUUAAAUACUUAGUUUAGGCCUAAUACCGUUAUUUCAAUUAGUUUUAACUCUUUUAACUUUAUUUUAUCAAACAAAAUUAAAAUUACAAAAAUAUUUAUUUAUUAUCUAAUUAAUAUAAAAUAGUUUCACUUUUAGUUUUAAUUUUACUUUAAUUAAUUAAAAAUGAUUUCAUCAUUUUAUAGUUGUUAUUUUAGGAGCUAAUAUUUUUUGUCUACUAAAGUUAAGGGCCACUUUUAAAGGUAUAUUUGGUCAAAUUUGAUCCAAUUUGGAUCUAGGCCAUAAUCCUAUGCCCAAUGCCUACUAACCUUACCCUAAAAUUCUAAUAAAACUAGACACCUUAAUAUUGGGAUCCUUCAGCCGUUUUCUAUGAAAAUAAACACAAAAACAAACAACCGUAGACAAGAGAUCAUCCCUUCUUCUUCAACGGAUAUACAACACAAAAAACCGUAGGAAUCUAUCUCAUACCUCUUUUUCGCCACAGUCGUAUUACGAGGUUGAGUUAAAAUAGUUUUUUCAAUUAAAGUGACAUUUUGAAAAGGAAUUAUUCAUUGUUUAGAGUCGCCACUUGGAAUUGAGUUUUGGUGUUCCAAGUCACUUUUUAUUGAAUCCCUCAUUAAAAGAAAGAUUUGACUCUUAGUUCAUGGUCUGCAAAAAUAAAAGACCAAGUAAGAAAUUCUAUUGACCGAGAGGAAGGUGUAAGGCACCCCUCGAGUCUCGUGAUUCUAGCAUGGUUGCUUUAUUUACUAAUGUCCGGCUUAAAUCAAUUUUUGGCUAUUUAGGUAUUUUAUUGAUUAUGACUUGUCUAUUAUCAAUUAAUUAUUAUAUUUUUAUUAAUUGUAUUCACCAAGAUGCGGAACACAUACAAGGUACUUCUUUGAAAAAGUGUUAAAUCAAGAUACGGAAUGUACACAUGGUUAAAUCAUAAUUAUUUUAAUUUAAAGGUGUCAAGACGAGAAAUGCACACAUGACCCUUUUAUUAUUUAAGUAUAUCAAUCCAAGAUUUGGGUAUGAAUAAAUGAGCUAGUAUUUAAAGUACAUCUAAAAAAAUUUCUAAUAUUUUAGAGUAUUUCACUUGUUUUAUCUCUUUCAGGUUCAAGACAUUUAUUUGUAUAAUUAUUAUAAUAAUUAUUAUUAUUAUUAUUUUAUUACUUAUUGCAACGAGCCUUGAAUUAGUUUAUGCCUCAUUUUUCACCUUUAAAUUUAUUUUUAUCACUCUUGGACCGGACAUAAUUUUCUGUAAUCCAAAUUCUUUUAUGACUUAAACGUAUAGAUGACCUACAUCUCUUAAAUGGCCCAUGCUUCUAAGUCACAGUAGGCCCGAAAUUCAACGGGUCUUGACUAGUAACACAUUUUUAAUUAUUUAUGUUUGCAACUUUAAAUAAAUGCUAACUAAAAAAAAAUAUUUAUUAACCCAUGAAGGAAUGGAUAAUCGAAACAGAAAUAUGAUUAGUGCAAGAAUUCUUUUUUCAUCACAACAAAAAUAAUCCUUGUAUAUCAUCCAUAGCUUAUUAGCAACUUUCAAAGAACGUUGGAUCUUAAAAGAAAAAUUUUCUUCUGUCAGAUUUCUUUUAAAAAAAAUACACAGGGAGAUAAUAUCAAAUUCUUUGCAAUUCUCAUUACUUAAACAACAAACUAACAAAGACUAUCAAUAAUUAAAAUCUGACACCAUAAAUCACAUAGAAUAAAGUCACAUAUAUUUGAGUUUUAGUAUUAGAUUAAAGGUAGAGUAAAAGCAACCAACCUCAAAUGAUUACUCAAAGGAAUAUUGAAUUACAAUUUUGAACUCGAACAGAAAAUCCAAAACUGAAGUUCGACUGGAACAUCGAAAACCCGCUGGAAUUCUCAAACUUCGUUUCAUGGAAGAGUUGGGUUUUCAAGAUAAGGAUGGCGGUGACUUUGAUAUUUAUGUAGCUAGUUUUUCUCUUGUUUUUCGAUGGUUUACACACUAACUAAUAGCUUUUAUAGUGUUUUCACAAAGACUACUGGUGGAGCUUUAAUGGAGGUUUUAGGAUGCACUUUUUAUUGCUGAAAAUUGGUUUUCUACUUUUCUAAAAUCUCAUUCUAUUCUCAAUUUUUUUCUCCUUUUCUAAGUAUUCCCUUUUCUUGUUAUAGUGAAUCCUAGCAGUAAUUUUCGUUCCUCUCUGUUAGAGUGGGGGGAACGUGGUUUAGAUAUUGGGGACAUGUGGUUGAUACAUGAGGAGUG